UACAUAGGGUGCGAGCGUUGUCCGGAAUUAUUGGGCGUAAAGCGCUCGUAGGCGGCUUUGCGCGUCGGGCGUGAAAUCCCCAGGCUUAACCUGGGAACUGCAUUCGAGACUGCAUUGCUAGAGUAUGGGAGAGGGAAGUGGAAUUUCCGGUGUAGCGGUGAAAUGCGUAGAUAUCAGGAGGAACACCGGUGGUGUAGACGGCUUUCUGGACCGUAACUGACGCUGAGACACGAAAGCGUGGGUAGCAAGCAGG
rnacentral:rRNA from 1 species